rnacentral:rRNA from 1 species
UACGUAGGGGGCAAGCGUUGUCCGGAAUUAUUGGGCGUAAAGCGCGUGUAGGCGGCUCGGUAAGUCUGCUGUGAAAGUCCAAGGCUCAACCUUGGAAAGCCGGUGGAUACUGUCGAGCUCGAGUCCGGAAGAGGCGAGUGGAAUUCCUGGUGUAGCGGUGAAAUGCGCAGAUAUCAGGAGGAACACCAAUGGCGAAGGCAGCUCGCUGGGACGGUACUGACGCUGAGACGCGAAAGCGUGGGGAG